AUCAUCACCCUGUGACAUACCUAUAACGUUGCCUCGGCGGGAACAGACGGCCCCGUAACACGGGCCGCCCCCGCCAGAGGACCCCCUAACUCUGUUUCUAUAAUGUUUCUUCUGAGUAAACAAGCAAAUAAAUUAAAACUUUCAACAACGGAUCUCUUGGCUCUGGCAUCGAUGAAGAACGCAGCGAAAUGCGAUAAGUAAUGUGAAUUGCAGAAUUCAGUGAAUCAUCGAAUCUUUGAACGCACAUUGCGCCCGCCAGUAUUCUGGCGGGCAUGCCUGUUCGAGCGUCAUUACAACCCUCAGGCCCCCGGGCCUGGCGUUGGGGAUCGGCGGAAGCCCCCUGCGGGCACAACGCCGUCCCCCAAAUACAGUGGCGGUCCCGCCGCAGCUUCCAUUGCGUAGUAGCUAACACCUCGCAACUGGAGAGCGGCGCGGCCACGCCGUAAAACACCCAACUUCUGAAUGUUGACCUCGAAUCAGGUAGGAAUACCCGCUGAACUUAAGCA
rnacentral:rRNA from 2 species